rnacentral:sRNA from 2 species
ACCGCUGCCAAUCUAUCUACCACUGCCAAUCUAUCUAUCGCUGCUAAUCUAUCGCUGCUAAUCUAUCACUGCUAAUCUAUCGCUGCUAAUCUAUCGCCGCCAACCUACCUACCGCUGCCAACCUACCUACCGCUGCCAAUCUAUCUAUCGCUGCUAAUCUAUCGCUGCUAAUCUAUCACUGCUAAUCUAUCGCUGCUAAUCUAUCGCCGCCAACCUAUCUACCGCUGCCAACCUACCUACCACUGCCAACCUAUCUAUCACUGCCAAUCUAUAUAGGGUAAAUCAUGGUCCCAUUUGGUCCCAUUUUGUAAAAUGGGAUCAAAUGGAAUCAGAAUCACUAAUUUAUUAGUAAAACAUGAUCUGAGACUAGAUUUAUAAUAUAAAUAGUGUAAAGUGAUUAAUUUACUAAACACUAUAUGAGAUCAGAACUAAGAUAUCUAAUAAUGGAACUGAGAAAAAAUUUGAUCUCAGUUUCAUACAUGAUCACACAGUCAGUCUAAUCAUCAUUAAACAGCUUAUAUAGCUCUGAUAAAGAUUCUCUGAUAGAUGACAGUCUCACAGCAUCUCUU